rnacentral:rRNA from 1 species
UACGUAGGGGGCGAGCGUUAUCCGGAUUUACUGGGCGUAAAGCGCGUUAAGGCGGUUGGCAAAGUUGGUUGUGAAAUCUCAGGGCUCAACCCUGAAAUUGCGACCAAUACUGGUCGACUAGAGUGCAGGAGAGGAAGGUGGAAUUCCCGGUGUAGUAGUGAAAUGCGUAGAUAUCGGGAGGAACACCAGUGGCGAAGGCGGCCUUCUGGCCUGCAACUGACGCUGUAGCUCGAAAGCGUGGGGAGCGAACCGG